AACGCACAUUGCGCCCCUUGGUAUUCCAUGGGGCAUGCCUGUUCGAGCGUCAUUUGUACCCUCCAGCCCUGCUGGGUGUUGGGCGUUUUGUUCCGCUGCACGCGUGAACUCGCCUCAAAUGCAUUGGCAGCCCGCCGUCCCGUGUGGGAGCGCAGCACAUUUUGCGCUUUCCGCUGCUGACGGUGGCAUCCACAAGUCUACCAUUUUACGCUUGACCUCGGAUCAGGUAGGGAUACCCGCUGAACUUAA
rnacentral:misc_RNA from 2 species